AUACUUACCUGGCAGGGGAGACACCAUGAUCAUGCAGGUGGUUUUCCCAGGGCGAGGCUCAUCCCCUGCACUCCGGGUGUGCUGACCCCUGCGAUUUCCCCAAAUGCGGGAAACUCGUUAAUUUUUGCCAGCAGUGUGCCCAGGUGGCCAAGAAGGCCAACGGCAUCCUGG